GUCCGUCCGGUGGUCCGUGGGGGUGGUUGGAAGAAAGCAUCGGAAGAAAGAAGAUGCGAUGUGAUCUGUUUUCAGAAACUGCUGGAGGUGGAAGAUGACUGCUGGCCGUUAGAUUAGAGAUCAAGGGCGGAGAACAUCGACUGACCCAAAUAGGGACUUUCAGUCGACUGGCCCGUAGCCAGUCCCCCUCCCCUCGCCCCCAAACCCUACCGGCGGCAAGAAAAAAUGCCGCGGCUGACGCCGGCGGACGCGUCACUUAUCCUCGACCACGUCGUAGGGGACGCGUCCAUCCCCACCGCCGCCGCCAACGUGCUCCUCGCGGGCCUCCCCUUCCCGGACCGCCCCACGCCGCGCCUCCUCCGCUCGCUGCUCCUCCGCCGCCUCGCCACCGACCCCGUCUCCACCGCCGCGCUCGACUCCCUCCAGCUCCUCGCCUCCCUCCCCGACCCGGACCCCGCGUCCCCCGUCUCCGCCGCGCACCUCGCCGUCGCCGCCUUCCUCGCCUGCUCGGCGCCCGACUUCGACGCCGCCGCGCGGGCCCUCUUCGCGCGCCCCGGCGGCCGCGCGCGCCGCGCGGUCGACGAUGAGGAGGGCGGGGACCCCGCGCUCGCCUCCUCCGAGGCCCUCGUCGUCGCGGACCAGUUCGAGGCCGCCGUCGGGAACGCCUUCUCGCAGGAGGUGCUCAAGGGGCUGUUUGGCGACAGGGCCAAGGCGGAGCGGCGGGUGAGGGACCUCCUGGCGGCCGAGUGGGCCGCGAUCGGCCCGUCUCGCCUGGAGCUAGCGGCCGAGCAGAUAGUCGGCGACGGCGCCGUCGAGACAUGGCGCGCCGCUGACGAGACCGUCCGCGCCAAAUACCGCAUUCUAGGUGGGAAAGAAAAAACACGUGAAAUUUUGAGCAAAAUUGAAGACCGAAUUUCAACCCCUCAAGUUCAUAAGGUCAUACAUGACCUGAAAUUAAGCUGUGCUGACCUUCAUAAUGUGGUGGAUGAUCCAUUACCAGCCGCAAAAGCAGCUGCAGAUAAGGUGUUGGCUGCAAGGAUGGAUAAGGCAGUUCAUAUUAAUGAUGAAGAAUUUAACAAUCAGGCUGCGAAUUGUAGCAUUGCUGGUCCAAGUGCUGUUAAUGACCAAGGCGAUACAUUGAGAAAAGGCACGCCAUCAAGUCUUAUGGAUUGGAACCCUACAGCACAAUCUCUUCUUGACACCCUUCUAGGCAUAAGUCCUAAAACAUUAGAUUUUGGUAACUAUGCUCAAAGGGAUCUUAUUUGCAGUGGGAGGAUUCGCUUGAUCCUGAUGGUUCAAGAUCACAAUCACAUAGACCGCACUUGCCUAGCCCAAGGAGAAUACCGGUUUCUCCGUUGCAAGUGGCAGAAAACAAAGCUAGGCGUAGAAGGGCAAGGAGGUGGAGCUCGGUAGAAGAAGAGACAUUAAGGAAGGGCGUUGAACAAUUUGGUAGCAGCAAUUGGAAGGAUAUUUUGAUCCACAAUCCCGAUGCUUUUAUUGGUAGAACAACGGUGGACUUGAAGGAUAAGUGGAGAAACAUGAUGAGAUAGUGGAGAGACAUACUUUAGGGUGGUUCUAUAUGGUGAAACUGCAUGCCUCUUUUACCGAUGGAGCUAGGAUGCAGCUUGUUAAUAUUUUGUUACAUCGCUUAGACGCUUACUUUUUUUGUGUGUGUGUGGAAAAGACCUCAGGAUAAUAUUGAAGUUUCAGAAGUAGUGCAAAGCACCCUGAAAGUAAAGAAAAGUACAACGAAGUCCUCAGACCACCCGACGAAGACUACACACACCAGAGCGGGUUGACGGCGCCCGCCGUCGCUGCCGCUGCUCCCGGAGCCAGCACCACCCUUGUGUAGACAGGCAAUAUGACGGGCAAAUGACACCAGAUGCUAUUAUAGAUGUAAAGUCUCUCUUCGGUAAUUUAAGAAAUGCUUGUUUUUUAGGUUGUUGUUGAAGUGUUGUGGGGCAUUUUCUGUCGUGAUGGAAUGUUGUCUCUCUUUUUUGAACACAAGGAAGGCGCAUUCAGGCGCCAAAUUUCAUUCAACUCAUUUGCAAAAUACA